UACGUAGGUGACAAGCGUUGUCCGGAUUUACUGGGCGUAAAGAGCGCGCAGGCGGUCGUUCAAGUCGAGUGUGAAAGCCCCCGGCUCAACUGGGGAGGGUCAUUCGAUACUGAUCGACUCGAAGGCAGGAGAGGGUAGUGGAAUUCCCGGUGUAGUGGUGAAAUGCGUAGAUAUCGGGAGGACACCAGUGGCGAAGGCGACUACCUGGCCUGUUCUGACGCUGAGGCGCGAAAGCUAGGGGAGCAAACGGG
rnacentral:rRNA from 1 species